CAAGGGGCAGCCGGCACUUUCGCACCCUGGCCACAGCUGUGCGGGGCUCUGCACACCUGCAGUCGCUGGUGGAUCGGUCCCUUUUGACACUUAACUCACCUGCCUCUGCAGACGGAAAUGCUUUAAUUGAAUCAGCUGCUCCUUGCAAUCCCAUUUCACAGCAGAGAUGAAGCCUCUGAGAAAUAAGAGUCCCGAGUUCCAACGGAAGCAGAAUGGGAAGUGGAUGAGUCAUAUCGUAAUCUGGUUUACUGUUGAAGUGUUGCAAUGCAAGGCUAUGCAGGAAGCACUGGGGAAUCCAGGACAAUAGUUAAUUUAGAACCAAUGAUCUUCCCAGCAGACACAAUUUUUGCCCUACUUGACCUGCCUGUCAUUGCAUCUAUAGUCCCCCUGGUUGCUGAAGUCAUUGUGUUUUGGGAUCUAGAAAAUGCUAAUCAAAUGCCAAAGUGAAGUGACCUGUUAUUUAUAAGGUGCUAGUCUACUAAAUGCCACACAGAGAACUGAGAUCAUAAACAGCAGAGCCAGCAAGUGAGAAGAGGGCUCAGCACAGGGCAAGUUUACUUGAGAAAUGUAUUGCUACUGCUGUUUAGUUACACCUGGACUCUUACAAGGCAGGAUCUGUGAUAGCCCCAGAAGAUCCCCAACCAGCAAUAAUUUCAUAGACAUUAGGGCUGGAAGGGACCUCGGAAGAUCAUCGAGUCCAGCCCCCUGCCCAAAUGAUGAUGAUAAUGAGCUAACCUAGCUGCACAAGUCCUCUGAGCAAGCUCCUAUUGUACCAGUUUUCCCCAGAAGAGGUAGAAAAUGUCUCCCUUGUUGGUACGUUCCACUUGGGUGAUAAGCUGCUUCUCACUUCCCCAUUUCCUACAGAGCCUCGGUCUACCCACAGAAACAGAUGGCCAAGACUUUCAGAAGCAGCUGCUGAUUUCAGACACUCAGCAUGACACAGCUUGAACGGCCGGAUCUGAUCUCCCACGGUUCUGAGAACCCAUCUCCUGGGAAUCCGGGCCGUCAAAUGGUGAAGAUGAAGUCCCAGGAUGGAAGCAGCAGACACUUCACCUGCUAGUCACCCGGUAUAGACAGACUCAUAUUGGAAGUUUUCUCUUGUCCCUUGCAGGGCUUUGGCCCAGGUUGAAAGCAUGAUUCAGUAGAAAUGCUCAGGUGAUUAUGGCUAUUUGCACGUCUGAUCCCUUUACCAACCAGAGACUAAAUAACUGAUUUAUUGUGGCAACACCUGGGGAAUCACAGCAUUGGGGAAAGGACAGUAUCAAUUUAGAGACACAUUCCUGCUGCAGUCUGGUCAUGUUGAAUCUGAGGAUCAUAUCACUGUUUGCAUACAGCGAGACUUAUGACUCUUGAUUCCUUCUGAGACUUUCGCUUGGUGCAGAUUGAGACCGAAGUCAUCCCUCAUACAGCAAGCACCACAAUUUGGAUUGAUGUAAUUGCUGUUUAAUGCAUGGCCUCUUUCCAUAAUACAGCACUUUUCUUCUCCUUUGUU